rnacentral:rRNA from 1 species
CCUACGGGGGGCAGCAGUGGGGGAUAUUGCACAAUGGGGGAAACCCUGAUGCAGCGACGCCGCGUGGGUGAAGAAGCGCCUCGGCGCGUAAAGCCCUGUCAGCAGGGAAGAAAAUGACGGUACCUGAAGAAGAAGCCCCGGCUAACUACGUGCCAGCAGCCGCGGUAAUACGUAGGGGGCAAGCGUUAUCCGGAUUUACUGGGUGUAAAGGGGGCGCAGACGGCCAAGCAAGCCAGGGGUGAAAGCCCGGGGCCCAACCCCGGGACUGCCCUUGGAACUGCAUGGCUGGAGGGCGGGAGGGGCAGGCGGAAUUCCUGGUGUAGCGGUGAAAUGCGUAGAUAUCAGGAGGAACACCGGCGGCGAAGGCGGCCUGCUGGACCGCGACUGACGUUGAGGCUCGAAAGCGUGGGGAGCGAACAGGAUUAGAUACCCUUGUAGUC